rnacentral:rRNA from 1 species
UAUGAAGGCCAGGCUGAAGACUUUGUCCGGAUUAGCUGAGAGGUGGUGCAUGGCCGUCGUCAGUUCGUACUGUGAAGCAUCCUGUUAAGUCAGGCAACGAGCGAGACCCACGCCCACAGUUGCCAGCGUACUCUCCGGAGUGACGGGUACACUGUGGGACCGCCGCUGCUAAAGCGGAGGAAGGGAAUGGGCAACGGUAGGUCAGUAUGCCCCGAAUAUCCCGGGCUACACGCGAGCUACAAUGGUUGGUACAAUGGGUAUCUACCCCGAAAGGGGACGGAAAUCUCCUAAAACCAAUCUUAGUUCGGAUUGAGGGCUGCAACUCGCCCUCAUGAAGCUGGAAUCCGUAGUAAUCGCGUUUCAACAGAACGCGGUGAAUACGUCCCUGCUCCUU